rnacentral:rRNA from 1 species
CAAAGAGGAUACACCUGUUCCCAUCUCGAACACAGUAGUUAAGCUCUUUAGCGCCGAAGGUACUUGGCGGGAAGCUGCCUGGGAGAAUAGGUCCUUGCCAAUU